CCUACGGGAGGCUGCAGUGGGGAAUAUUGGACAAUGGGGGGAACCCUGAUCCAGCCAUGCCGCGUGUGUGAAGAAGGCCCUCGGGUUGUAAAGCACUUUCAGUGAGGAAGAACGCCUGGUGGUGAAUACCCAUCAGGAAAGACAUCACUCACAGAAGAAGCACCGGCUAACUCCGUGCCAGCAGCCGCGGUAAUACGGAGGGUGCGAGCGUUAAUCGGAAUUACUGGGCGUAAAGCGCGCGUAGGUGGCUUGAUAAGCCGGUUGUGAAAGCCCCGGGCUCAACCUGGGAACGGCAUCCGGAACUGUCAAGCUAGAGUGCAGGAGAGGAAGGUGGAAUUCCCGGUGUAGCGGUGAAAUGCGUAGAGAUCGGGAGGAAUACCAGUGGCGAAGGCGGCCUUCUGGACUGACACUGACGCUGAGGUGCGAAAGCGUGGGUAGCAAACAGGAUUAGAUACCCCAGUAGUC
rnacentral:rRNA from 1 species